rnacentral:misc_RNA from 1 species
GAAAAGAGAGAUUUCGGCCUCAUUUGGCUUAAAAGGGGAUAGAAGAAAUGUAUUUGACAACAAAGCAAAUUUUAUACUAUAUCAAAAAAAUAAUGUUCAAAUAAUAAAACUAAACAUUCCCAAUAUUUCAGCCCUAAGGCAACAUUCAAGGCGAACAAAAACGUUGUUGCUGGUGUCUGGGGCCUCUAAUCAAGGAUGCCUGGGUGUGCUUCCCAAAAACUCUGCUCAAUUAUAUUACAAUAUUCUACGAUUACCUUAUUUCGUAGUUUUUCAACAGAUGAUCCAUUCUCAUGUAUCACAACAUCCUCCUUUACGCUGAAAACAGAGGAACCCUGGCGAAGAAUGGCUGGUAAUGCAUUGUAGUCAAUACCAAAUUGUGCAAGAAUUUGAUUUUUCUCCCGUGCUUGAGUGCCCUGCAUGACAAGAACAUUUGCAGUACAUAACUAAGCGCUGAUUUAUCUAGUGAUUGCCUCCCCAAGAAAAUUGUAAACAUCAAUGCCAAAACUAUGAUUAACAAGCAUGAGGCAUUUAAUAAAAGGAGAUGAAGAGAGAGGUAGAGGACGAAACCUUUAAAGUAUUUUGAGCAUCACUUUUACUUUUUCCAGACUUAACAAGUGCCCAAAAACAAGUAUUGUAUUGAUUGUUGAUGUGGCAAUCAACUUGUCUCCAAGCAAGAUAAUCUCGAAGAAUCUCAGAUGAUGGAUAGCAUAUAGCCCUUCCAUCAAAGGAGGGAGUAUACUUGAGUUCUUUCUGCGGGAAGAAAGAUUUCCAAUUCAUCACAUACAUUGAGGAGAAGAAUGAAACGAUGGCAGAAACGAUACCACUGCACAAGCAGAAUUGAGAAUGAAUAAUAUAUCAAAAAUAGGUCAGGAGGACUAUGUGCAGUGGAAGCCGAAGUUCAAGUAACAUAUCAGGAUGCAAUGGCUACAUAGACAACUUAGACCCUUCAGCCAUGCAUGUGCCAUGUGUAAUAGAAAAGGAGAGCUGGGCAUUGCAGUUAUUAAGCUCACUAGGGUUAAAGAAAUACCUGGCUUGCCUCUGCAAAAAUUUAGAAUCCUUCUUCAAAACAAAGCUGAAAAUUAUACAACUAAACAUGUGAAUACUGAACUUGCAGGUCCAAAUACAGAUUCAAGACAUCAAAGUAAGGAACACAAAUCUGCUACCUGUACUCAUCACUAACACCAUAAGAAAAAAUAACAUCUUGAAACUCUUCUAAAACAGCCACUGCACAUGAAUUCAUAAGGUUCAGAGCUUGCACAUCAUUGGGCUUCUCAAAUGCAUGAACAUCACAAAAUCUACCACAAACAACAAAACUGAAUUAUUUCCUGGCAAGGUAGCUAGGAAAGCAAAAAGAAAUCAUGCAUCAGACUUGACAGUUGACAACAUCAUGGUCUGUUGUGUUUGGAGAUAACUCAUACUAACUUGAAGUUGCAAUAAAAUUUGCAUGUACAGUGAAAGCAAGAAGCAUGGAUACAAGGAAUUUAUGCCUGCGACUUAGAUAUGCCUGGUUACGCAUUAUCCAUUGGUUAAAAAACCUAAUCAAGGGAUUGCAAUUUCCUGAGUUAUAACUUAUAAUCUAUAAGUUACAUAAACGUAGGCUACAAAAAAUUCUAAAACUUCCAAAAGAACUGAAUGAUUUGUUUUUCAUUUAUUUUCAGAAAAGCAGAACUGCUAUUGCAUUGAGGCUAUUGGAAAGAAAAAAUAAUUGCUCCAACAAGAACAAUUGACAAUAUUGCCAGACUUUACCUGUGAAAAUGGCAUCCAUCAAUUCUAAUCACAAUCCAAGUAGAGGGCAUCAGUUUGUUUUCAAAUAGGAAAGACCUAAUGUAAUCAGGGUUAAUUUUACCAAUGUCUUCUGCAAAACAACCUAGCUGCUUAAGAAGAUUUUGGUGCACAUUCCAAAAGCUUCUCCCAGCGAUGUUCUCUGAAUGGAGUAUUCUUGCCUUUCUCCGUAGUCUUUUGACAGGAGUACCGUUCUCACUAUACUUCGCAAUAUCUUCCUCCUGUGUCAUGAAAACACAAGAUCCUUGACGGAACAUCUCAGGAAGUUUUUUGUAGUUGACACCAAAUUCUUGAAAGAGAAGCUCAUUUUUCUCUUGCUUUUGAGUGCCCUUUAAAAUUUCUUGCGCUUCUUUUUCAGUCUUCCCACUUUCAACCAGCUUCCAAAGACAAGUGUUGUACUGGUUAUUAGCAUGGCAGUCAUUCUGUCUCCAUGCAAGAUAUUCUUGUAGAACCUCUAUUGUUGCACAACAUAUAACCCGCCCAUUAAAUGUUGGGGGAUAUCUCAUAUCUUUCAUGGGGAAAAACUCCUUCCAUUUUGUAGCAUAUAUCGAAGAGAAAAAAGAAACAAUGAGGGAUAGAAUUUUGCUGCACAUUCGAAGCAAUAAACCAAUAAAUACUCCAUCCAAGACAACCAAGUUUUCUGACAUAAACACCACCCUAAUUUAAGUUAUCCCUAGGUCACCAGCCCCUCUCUCUCUCACCAGAAAAGGAACACACAGCUCAAACCACCAUUUUUUCCUACCAUCGAGUACUGCCUACCACAAACCACUGGAAUCAACCAUCAAACCAAACCUUUUCUAGACCACCAUUUCUUUAUCAACAGUCAUUGCAAACCAUUAUUACUUCAGCUAUAAUAUCACUGUUAAACAAAAAUCACCAUAAAAACAAUGUAAACCACCAUGCAACUCUUAGAUUUAUGCUUUUUUUACUAAUGGGGAUAGGCAGGAUUUCAAGCGUCAAAGAAGUCUAUUGUUACUUGUAUUUGAGUUGAUGACUAAUUCACAUAAUUAACCCAGCCUAACAAUCUGAUAUCCAAUAAUCCCAUCAGUGAAAUCAGACAGGAUCAUAAUUGUAUAAUCUUAUAGGCAUCUUUGAAGACAAAUUUUCUUGAACUAGAUAAAAGAAAUAUAUCAAGACAUUAUGAACUAAGAUGUAAGAUCCUACAAAAAGAAUCCAAUUACAAAUGGAGUUCAUUAGAGAAGAUGUCCCAGGGAAGAUGAUGGCAAGUAAACUGCACGAAGAGGGAAAGCAUAUGAAAAACAACUAAAAGGCAGCUACACUACAGGCAGUAGAAAAUUCUACAAAUCAGAUACAAAUAACAUAAAGCUGAAUAACCAAUUAAAUCUUACAUGGAUACUACAGCAGAGAAAUCAAUUGUAGAUAAAGUUGCAUUGAAGUAAAUGCAGAUACAAAGGCAGAAGAAGGAAAGAAUUUGCUAUAGAUUAACUUUCUUUUCCUAAUUUACUUUCUUUUCUUCUUGUUCUUUUCCUGUGUACAAGAGGUUGGUACAUUUUAGACACAGCUUAAACAAUGUAAAUGGAAUUGCCACAAAGUUUUAUAGCUGAAAAUAGUAAAAGAUCGUUGUCUCAUCAUUGGCAAUGGCAGAGAAAGGCAAGAGAGUUCCUAACAAUUUAAAAAGAGAGGGGAAAAAAAACUCAUCAAAGAGGACCUGGCUCUCCUUUGGUAGAACUUCGUUGUCUUCUUGAAAACAAAACUAUAUUCAUCACUAAAGCCGUAGGAGAAGACAAUGUCAGGAUACUCUUCUAAAACAGAGAUUGCGCAAGCAUUCAUCAAAUUCAAGGCUUUCUCAUCAUUUGGUCUCUCAAAUUCAUGAACUUCGGAGAAUCUUCGAAAAUCACGACCAUCGAUUCGAACAACAAUGAGGUUAGGGAACAUGACCUCAUCAUUAGCCUCGAAUGACUUCACGUACUCGUAUUUGCUGUUUGCCAUUACACUCUGCUUUGCUUCGCUAUUGUGUCAAUUUCUCUCAU